CCUGGCUGAGACUGCCAGAGCAGAGGAACGGGCAACGAGGGCACCCGCAUCAAGGGAGGCCUCACAAAUGAAUUUCCCUGCCUGAACAACGAGCUGGGCUAAAGAACGGAGAUCCUGAAUGGAGACGUCCGAAUCAAACUCCCGUUUCAGUU